GACGAACGCUGGCGGCGCGCCUAACACAUGCAAGUCGAGCGAUGAAAUUUUAACCGAUCUCUUCGGAGAGAAGAUAAAAUGGAUUAGCGGCGGACGGGUGAGUAACACGUGAGAAACCUGCCUUUCACAAGGGGAUAGCCUCGGGAAACCGGGAUUAAUACCCUAUGACACAUUUCCUUCGCAUGGAAGAAAUGUUAAAACUCCGGUGGUGAAAGAUGGUCUCGCGCCUGAUUAGCUAGUUGGUGGGGUAACGGCCCACCAAGGCCAUGAUCAGUAACCGGCCUGAGAGGGUGAACGGUCACAUUGGAACUGAGACACGGUCCAAACUCCUACGGGAGGCAGCAGUGGGGAAUAUUGAACAAUGGAGGAAACUCUGAUGCAGCGACGCCGCGUGAGCGAUGAAGGCUUUCGAGUCGUAAAGCUCUGUCCUAUGGGAAGAUAAUGACGGUACCAUAGGAGGAAGCCCCGGCUAACUACGUG
rnacentral:rRNA from 1 species